rnacentral:rRNA from 1 species
CCUACGGGUGGCAGCAGUGGGGGAUAUUGCACAAUGGGGGGAACCCUGAUGCAGCGACGCCGCGUGGGUGAAGGAGCGUUUCGGCGCGUAAAGCCCUAUCGGCAGGGAAGAAGGAGGACGGUACCUGACUCAGACGCCCCGGCUAACUACGUGCCAGCAGCCGCGGGAAUACGUCGGGGGCAAGCGUUAUCCGGAUUUACUGGGUGUAAAGGGGGCGCAGACGGCAGCGCAAGCCAGGAGUGAAAGCCCGGGGCCCAACCCCGGGACUGCUCUUGAAACUGCGGGGCUGGAGUGCAGGAGGGGCAGCCGGAAUUCCUGGUGUAGCGGUGAAAUGCUUAGAUAUCAGGAGGAACACCGGUGGCGAAGGCGGCCUGCUGGACUGCGACUGACGUUGAGGCCCGAAAGCGUGGGGAGCAAACAGGAUUAGAUACCCCAGUAGUC